rnacentral:rRNA from 1 species
CUCAGGAUGAACGCUAGCGGCAGGCUUAAUACAUGCAAGUCGAGGGGGCAGCAAUGUCACCGGCGAACGGGUGCGUAACGCGUAUGCAACCUACCUACAUCGAGGGGGAUAGCCCUAGGAAACUGGGAUUAAUACCGCAUAAUAUAUGACAAGGCAUCUUGUUAUAUUGAAAUAUUUAUAGGAUGUAGAUGGGCAUGCGUAGGAUUAGCUAGUUGGUAAGGUAACGGCUUACCAAGGCUACGAUCCUUAGGGGCUCUGAGAGGAGUAUCCCCCACACUGGCACUGAGAUACGGGCCAGACUCCUACGGGAGGCAGCAGUGGGGAAUUUUGGACAAUGGGCGCAAGCCUGAUCCAGCAAUGCCGCGUGCAGGAUGAAGGCCUUCGGGUUGUAAACUGCUUUUGUACGGAGCGAAAAGGCCCUCUCUAAUACAGGGGGUUCAUGACGGUACCGUAAGAAUAAGCACCGGCUAACUACGUG